UGUAGGGAGGACUAGUGGUUAGGCCUUGGUGUUCUCACCACCAUGGCCCGGGUUUGAUUCCCGGCCAGGGAU
rnacentral:tRNA from 1 species